rnacentral:lncRNA from 1 species
UUUGUGAGUUUAGGUUUGAUGUGCUUUGGGGCUUUGAUCGGACUUUGUGCUUGCAUUUGCCGAAGCUUAUAUCCCACCAUUGCCACGGGCAUUCUCCAUCUCCUUGCAGGUCUGUGUACACUGGGCUCAGUAAGUUGUUAUGUUGCUGGAAUUGAACUACUCCACCAGAAACUAGAGCUCCCUGACAAUCCCAGUACUAUAAAGAACGUUUCACCAUAAUGACCCUCCAGAGCUGGGAAACCUACCACAAGAUCUAAAGUUCUGGCUGUCCAUUAACCUCCAACUAUGGUCUUUAUUUCUUGUGGUAAUAUGAUGUGCCUUUCCUUGCCUAAAUCCCUUCCUGGUGUGUAUCAACAUUAUUUAAUGUCUUCUAAUUCAGUCAUUUUUUUAUAAGUAUGUCUAUAAACAUUGAACUUUAAAAAACUUAUUUAUUUAUUCCACUACUGUAGCAAUUGACAGAUUAAAAAAAUGUAACUUCAUAAUUUCUUACCAUAACCUCAAUGUCUUUUUUAAAAAAUAAAAUUAAAAAUGAAAAGAG